AUUGAACGCUGGCGGCAUGCCUUACACAUGCAAGUCGAACGGUAACAGGUCUUCGGAUGCUGACGAGUGGCGAACGGGUGAGUAAUACAUCGGAACGUGCCUAGUAGUAGGGGAUAACUACUCGAAAGAGUGGCUAAUACCGCAUGAGAUCUACGGAUGAAAGCAGGGGAUCGCAAGACCUUGUGCUACUAGAGCGGCCGAUGGCAGAUUAGGGAGUGGGUGGGAUAAAAGCUUACCAAGCCGACGAUCUGUAGCUGGUCUGAGAGGACGAUCAGCCACACUGGGACUGAGACACGGCCCAGACUCCUACGGGAGGCAGCAGUGGGGAAUUUUGGACAAUGGGCGCAAGCCUGAUCCAGCAAUGCCGCGUGCAGGAUGAAGGCCUUCGGGUUGUAAACUGCUUUUGUACUGAACGAAAAGCCCCGGGUUAAUACCCUGGGGUCAUGACGGUACCGUAGAAUAAGCACCGGCUAACUACGUGCCAGCCGCCGCGGUAA
rnacentral:rRNA from 1 species